CCAACCAUCCCUUCCCCAACCACCAUGAGUGAUGGGGCUCUAGCUACCAACUCUUCGGUGCUAGAACCCCAUUGUCGGGUUGUCCAAAUUUUUGGACAACCUAGUUUUUAAGGAUUGACCACCUGCAAAAAAACGGAAGGAGAAAAAAAAAACGUUUUCAAAACAAAAAACCUAAAAUCUCUAUCAGCCAGAAACAGCCACAAUCAAUAGAAAAUAAGAAAUCACAACAAAAAAAUACAAAAAGAAGAAACGAAAAUCUGAGAGACCCAAGGAAUGUGGAUCUAUUCAGCGAGGGAAGGAGAGAUAGGGGGUGAGUGGUGCCGGAUCUGAGCGGGGCACAAAAGGUUUGGGAAGCCGCCGGCUUAAAGGGGGAGAGAAAAAAGAGUGAAAGCAGUACCGACGCCAGAUCCGACGACAGUGAAGGUGGGGCUACCACCGGUUGGUCAGAUUUGAAAAAAGAAAGGGGAAUAGAGAAGAGAAAGCCGAAGGAGAGGGAAAGAGAAGGAUCUGCCAACCAUAGGGAAAGUUGAAGAGAGAAAGAAACAAAAAAGAAGAGAUAGAGAAAAAGAAAAUUUUAGAGAGAAGGGAGAGGGUGAUCGGCUAGAGAGAGAAGGAGAAAGGUGAAAAUAAGGAAGAAAAAAAAAUAAGCUUUUAUACUAAACAGAGGAGAGCAAAACGGUCCCGUUUUAGUGGAGUGGGGGAAUUGAAAGGUCAAUGCCUAAACGGUGCCGUUUCGAGUGGCUCUAUAGGCACCAAACGAUGCGUUUUGAAUUCUGCCUUGUGGGCCUCAAGAAUCAGAUCGGGUGUAACAGAUUUGGGCUUCUACAGGCCAUUGAGUUGGGCUAAUCUGAGCCCAGAAAGGUAUAACCCUUCUCUUUGGUUUGGGCUUAUUUCAAUUGAUUUUGGGUUAGCCCAUUUUGUUAAAUAAAUUGCAUUUUUUUGUUGUUAUGAUUUAAACCAUAUUAGGAAAAGUUAUACAUAUAUAUACGUAUAUAUUUAUUAUGAAUGCUUCUUUAAAUGCUAGAAAAAUAAAAAAAAAUAAUGAUAAUAACAAUAAUAAUAAUAAAAAUCAUCAACUUAAAUAAAACGUUAAUAUAUAUAUAUAUAUAAGACUAAAUGAAAUAGUUAAUUAUAUUAAAAUAUUAAAUAUAUUGCCAAAGAAAUUAAGAUCAAAGAAAUUAUUUUAUAAAUGCGUACCACUUACGAAUUUAUCUUGAUAUGGCAUAUGCUAUUUUUAUUUUGCUAAUGGAUCGAGAACCCCAAUGUNUUGCCUCUUUUAAGUGAGAUUUUUUUGAGUGCGAAGUUCGAGAUGAAUUUUCACCGAAGCGUCGGGAUAAAUCCGAACUCUAAACUUCAAUACCCGUUAAGUCAAAUUAUCGUCGUAAAAAAAUAAAUUUACAUAAUGUUGCAUUUGAACUUAAAUUAAUAUAAUUAGUUAAUCAGCUUAAAUAAAUACUACUAAAUAGAGUUAAUUUAAUCGUCAAAAAAAUAGAUUAAUUAAUUGUUUAUUUGAUAAGCUAUAUAAUCAAGUAAAAUAUUAAUCAAAAACGUUAAUUAAAGGAUAUGGAUCUAAAUAGAAAAUAAAAAAAAUAAAAUAAACAAAUAAUCCACAAAAAAAUAAUAAAUAGCAAUAAACGUAUAAAUAAGGUGAUAAAUUAUUAAACACGUAAUUGGAUGAAUUAUGAACCACGUAAGUCAAUAAACGCAUGCAUGUAGACAUCAUCAUUUUAUCUUGUCAUAGCAUGCCACAUUUAUCUUGCAAAUGGUGCGGGAGUUCUGACGAUGGGAUUUCCCCGAAAGGCUUGUAGAGACGAGUUCUUCCGGGGAUAUUUCUAAGUGAGAAAAUUUUCGAGAUUUUACCAAAGCGUUGGGAUGAUCUUCGAAUGAUUUUCCAAUAAAAGAUUGCCGACCUCAUUAUUUAAAAUAAACAAGUCAUGACAUCAUUUUACGCUUGCAUCAUGUGCAUACGUAAAACCAAAUAAAAAAAUCAGUUGGCCAAUUUAAUAAAAAAUUAGUUAAUAAGCAGGGAUUAAAUCAAAAGUAGGCUAUAAUAGGAUAACUUAAGAUUAAAUGGUACCGUUCGUGGAACGGGCACCACGGAGAUGCUAACCCUUCUCCGUGCGUAACGGCACUCCCGAACCCAUCUAAAAAACAUGGAUCAGUUCUCGUUCUUUCGACGGACCUAAAAUUAAUUUAGGACUUCGUCGAUUAUAAUCAGAUUAAUAGGUAACCAAUCACACCUAGAUAAAAAAUAUUGGUGGUGACUCCUAAACAACAUUUAAUUUUCACCGGCGUCUUGCGGUCGAGUUCUCGAACUCGCACGUUACGAUAGAUGGCGACUCCACUGGGACCUCGAGGGUCAAGCCAUUAAUUAAUCAUAAGUUAUCUUAAGCCUUAAAUAAUUUAUUUUUUUCCCUAGCAUCAAUUUUGCGUAUUUUUGUUUAAUGCAUUCAUUUAUUUUGCUAUUAUUACUUCACUAUUUUUAAUAAUUGCAAGAAAUUUAGGAUAAGAAGAGUGUGAAAUUAUUGGUCCAAUGUCAGUAUAUUCCUUCUCACACACUACACAUCUUGUAUUCAUGCAUAAGCCUUUCACCUGGGCUUUGUCCUUAAUUAUGAGGGAGUUAAGUAGCUACGCUCUCGUGAGGUGAUAACCUCCACAUGGGCUAGUGAAGACUCUCACUCAGAUCGAACCUAAUCCGUUUGAAGCCUGUAAUGGGUGAGAAUCGGGGUGCCUUACUAGUCCGUGUGGACAACAGUGAAAAGCGAUUUGGGAACCUUUAGUUCCAUUUUCAACCCAAACUCAGCAUGUAAAAUACCGAGAGUUGCCUUUGCUUAGGUAGAGUUUCACCUGUGAGAAUAUACCUUUUGACUAGGUACACAUAAAGGAAUUUUCAUAAUUCCCUUGUUCUAAAUUCUUCUCCGCGAAGUAAUGAAGGUAUCAUGUUAUUAAUUAUUCAUCUUUUGGAAUUCUUGUUUACGGUACUGACUUAAACUUUUUGUCAUAUGCAUAUUUGCAUCAUAAUUUUGCAUAUAGGAAAAGUAUUUGUCACCUGACAACCGUUGACAGAGUAGAUCCAAUUGCAUACAUGGAGUCAUCAUGGCCAUCCUCAAGUUACGAUGGAAUAUACGAAGUGACUCAGCAUAUGGCGAGUGCCCAACAAAGUGAAGGAGAAUGCUUGUCAAAAGAUCACUUCUCAUCACUACCUGAUAGGGUCCACCUUGAUCUUAAACAGAACGACUUCACCAAUUUGCUCGACAUAUGGGAUAAGUGGGGGGCUAGCACUCGGGCGAAUUUCAAUAGAAAAUAUGGCCACAUAGCUCGACUCCUUAAGGUCUAGAUAGAUGAACAGUUGUUAAAGGCCAUUGUGCAAUUUUGGGAUCCGUCGUAUAAAUGCUUCAUGUUUAAUGAGGUGGAUAUGGUCCCCACAAUCGAAGAGUGCUCGACUCUCUUACAAAUCGAUCUUGAUAAUCCGGACAAGAUAUAUUGGAGAGGACAAAAGACUGGACACAGGCGAAAGUUAGCCCAGAUGAUGGGUAUUACCCCGACGGAAGUUGAUCAAAACCUAAAGAAAAAAGAGGACAAUGAAUGUAUCCCAUGGAGUUUUCUACGUAGCUAUAUCAUGAAGCAUCGGAACACCGAGCAAGGACAGCUUGUGAUGGCCUUGGGAAUUUAUGGGCUAGUCAUCUUUCCCAAAGUCUUGGGACAUAUAGAGGUCGAAAUUAUAAACUUCUUCGAGCAAGUCAUCAACAAGGCCAAUCCUUCACCUUCUAUUCUAGCAGAAACUCUCAGAUCACUGAAUUAUUAUCGGAGAAAGGGGGAAGGACGAUUUGUGGGAUGCGCACAGCUUCUUUCCAUAUGGAUAGUAAGUCAUUUUGAAUGCAAGGUCGAGAAGUUCAAGAAGCCAUUUCAUCCGCGAACCGCCCCUAUCAAAGAAUUUUGUGAGAGUGAAUGGCCAAAAAAUAAGACUAAGGAGCAAUGGAUCUCUAGACUUCAGAAACUCAUGAGUGUGGAAGUAACGUGGAAAGCUCCGUGGAUGCCACAUCACCCGAUCUUGUACAAAUGCAGAAAUGAACCUUCAGUGUCGUUAAUGGGGCCAUGGGGAGCAAUCAGCUAUGCCCCAAUCAUGGUGAGAAAACAAUUUGGGUUAGAGCAGUUUGUGCCGAUGACACACCGACUUAAUACUUUGGAGUUUGCUUAUGGAGAGCCGGGUUUUCUAAAAAGGAUUAAGGAGAUUGUGCGAGCUUGGAAGAAAACUAGCCGAGUCGACCAAGGGAGAUACACUGAUGAAGUAACUACCAGAUAUCAGAUAUGGCACAACCAAUGAGUUAAAUAUGUGGUAUAUUCGAAGGAAGAUGCACUGCGUGGCCCAGUUGAUCCGGAACCACGAGAUGCUUUACUUGAAAGUGAGUUGGCUCGAAAGAAGUCCGAAGCUGAAAAUGCCAAUUGGAAACAACGGUAUGAAGACCUCCAAAAGAGUGUGAGAAGAUGAAGAAAGAAGUAAUUGAACAAAAAAAGAAGGUCUGAAAAAUAGAUAGUGAUUGGAAAAUGAAGUUUUCUGCCACAACCAGUGAACUUUAGAGGGAAAUACAAGUAAGAGAAAAUUGAGGCGAUGAACUUCAAGCGUACAAUGACGGACUAAGAAAUCAAGUGCGAUUCCAACAAGAGUCCAUCCAAUUACUAAGACAAGAGUAUGAAGAGCUCGAAGGGGUUAUGAUGACUUAUCAACAGGAAUAUGAACACCUCAAGCAAUAGAGCACCAGAAUUCAAGAGUGGGGUGAAUCCUACAGACCUGCUUAUAUAGAGAAACACGACCAGAUGGAUUACUUGGUUUGGCAAAUGAGGGAGGUGGCUUACAAGGCGAGAAGCAUGGCUUGGAAAACGGAUAUAUUAAGGAGCCAGGUCUUUCUAGUUGGAAAACAAGAGCAACAGUUGAUUAAGUAUUUAGAUGAGGUGUAUAGCCAUUAUAAUAAAAUUGGUGAAUAUUUCUAGAUGACUCCUGAGUUGUAAUCAAAAACAAUAUCUUAUGCAAUGGAUGACUUUGUUGUUAGGUGUCAUGUGACGAAUACUUUUAGUACAUAAUCAUUCAUACAUGCAUAAAUCAUCAUUUCAUGACAAUAAGUAUUUUCACCUAAAAAUAAAGAUAAUGGAUUCAUUUCUUCAUUUCAUUCAUGCAUCAAAUAUGCAUCUAAUUCAUGUUUAUGAUUACAAUAAGGUUCCAAAAAUAGCUCAACCACCUAAGCCAAGUGACCAACAUGUCCAUAAUACGCGUCGACGAACAAGGAUCAUGGAAGAAGAACAAAGAGAGCGAAUGGAUAUAAUGGAAAGAGCUCAAGAAGAAAUUAGAGAACAGUUAGCAAAGAUGAUGGAAUUGAUGACAAGCUUAAGUAAAGGAAAAAGAGUUGCAGAAGAGUUAGCUCCGUCAGAAAACCCACCAGCUCAAGACAUUGAAAACCAAAGGGAUGAUCCACCUUAUCCCCCAGGGUUCACUCCACCACAUGCCCAAACCUCUCAAAGGGUCCACCCUCAUGAGUGAUGGGGCUCUGAUUACCAACUCCUUGGUGCCAGAACCCCAUUGCCGGGUUGUCCAAAUUUUUGGACAACCUAGCUUUUAAGGAUUGACCACCUGCAAAAAAACGGAAGGAGAAAAAAAAAACGUUUUCAAAACAAAAAACCUAAAAUCUCUAUCAGCCAGAAACAGCCACAAUCAACAGAAAAUAAGAAAUCACAACAAAAAAAAAACAAAAAGAAGAAACGAAAAUCUGAGAGACCCAGGGAGUGUGGAUCUAUUCAGCGAGGGAAGGAGAGAUAGGGGGUGAGUGGUGUCGGAUCUUAGCUGCGCACAAAAGGUUUAGGAAGCCGCCG
rnacentral:lncRNA from 1 species